rnacentral:rRNA from 1 species
UACGAAGGGUGCGAGCGUUGUUCGGAAUUACUGGGCGUAAAGCGCACGUAGGCGGUCUUUUAAGUCGGGGGUGAAAUCCUGGAGCUCAACCCCGGAACUGCCCUUUGAUACUGGUAUCUCGAGUCCGGAAGAGGUGAGUGGAAUUCCGAGUGUAGAGGUGAAAAUUCGUAGAUAUUCGGAGGAACACCAGUGGCGAAGGCGGCUCACUGGUCCGGUACUGACGCUGAGGUGCGAAAGCGUGGGGAGCAAACAGG